rnacentral:piRNA from 1 species
UAGUAUUCUGUAGAUUUCUAGCCUCCAGA